AGUGAACGCUGGCGGUAGGCCUAACACAUGCAAGUCGAACGGCAGCACAGUAAGAGCUUGCUCUUACGGGUGGCGAGUGGCGGACGGGUGAGGAAUACAUCGGAAUCUACUUUUUCGUGGGGGAUAACGUAGGGAAACUUACGCUAAUACCGCAUACGACCUACGGGUGAAAGCAGGGGAUCUUCGGACCUUGCGCGAUUGAAUGAGCCGAUGUCGGAUUAGCUAGUUGGCGGGGUAAAGGCCCACCAAGGCGACGAUCCGUAGCGGGUCUGAGAGGAUGAUCAGCAACACUGGAACUGAGACACGGUCCAGACUCCUACGGGAGGCAGCAGUGGGGAAUAUUGGACAAUGGGCGCAAGCCUGAUCCAGCCAUACCGCGUGGGUGAAGAAGGCCUUCGGGUUGUAAAGCCAUUUUGUUGGGAAAGAAAAGCAGCAGGUUAAUACCCCGCUGUUCUGACGGUACCCAAAGAAUAAGCACCGGCUAACUUCGU
rnacentral:rRNA from 1 species